rfam:Cyphomyrmex costatus contig17642, whole genome shotgun sequence.
CGGAGGGGUUUUAGUCGGUAGGCGUCGUCGGUUAGGUUCGCCUGACCGGCGGUGAAUCCGACACUCUCCGGGGGCGGUUCCCCCGGGGGUCUUUGGAAGAUUUCCCCUUCG